rnacentral:rRNA from 1 species
CGCGGCCUAUCAGCUUGUUGGUGAGGUAACGGCUCACCAAGGCAGCGACGGGUAGCUGGUCUGAGAGGACGAUCAGCCACACUGGGACUGAGACACGGCCCAGACUCCUACGGGAGGCAGCAGCAGGGAAUAUUGCACAAUGGGCGAAAGCCUGAUGCAGCGACGCCGCGUGAGGGAUGAAGGCCCUCGGGCUGUAAACCUCUUUCAGGAGGGACGAAGCGAAAGUGACGGUACCUCCAGAAGAAGCCCCGGCCAACUACGUGCCAGCAGCCGCGGUAAUACGUAGGGGGCGAACGUUGUCCGGAUUUAUUGGGCGUAAAGAGCUCGUAGGCGGCUCAGCAAGUCGGCCGUGAAAGCCUGAGGCUCAACCUCAGGAGGCCGGUCGAAACUGCUGUGGCUAGGGUCCGGUAGAGGAGAGUGGAAUUCCCGGUGUAGCGGUGAAAUGCGCAGAUAUCGGGAGGAACACCAGUAGCGAAGGCGGCUCUCUGGGCCGGUACCGACGCUGAGGAGCGAAAGCUAGGGGAGCAAACAGGAUUAGAUACCCUGGUAGUCCUAGCCGUAAACGUUGGGCACUAGGUGUGGCGGAUUCAUUGACAUCUGCCGUGCCGAGGCUAACGCAUUAAGCGCCCCGCCUGGGGAGUACGG